rnacentral:rRNA from 1 species
AUGAAAGUAAAGGAAAUAUAUUUGGCAGGUAGGGAAGUGAUUUUGAACUCUGGGAAUGUAGCCAGAGUAUGGAAUGAUCCCAUCAGGGGUGAUACUCCCUUGCGUGAUAAAUUUCCGGCCUUAUUCAGCAUUUGUAAUUAUCAGGAAAUUACUGUGGCUGAAUUUAGAAACUUUGAGGGUAAUGAUCUCUUUAGAAGAAAUCUUCAUCCUCCCCUUACGGAUCAGUGGAACGAUCUGGUUAAGGUGGUUAACUCCUGGCAUUUAUCCGAUGAGGCUGAUCAGAUUAGCUGGACUUUGGGUAAAAAAGGUAAGUUCUCGACCAAAUCGGUCUACACCUACUUGGAAAGACCCCUGGCUGGAUGUGAUUACAGGUGGAUCUGGAAAGCUAAGAUUCCCCUCAAAAUCCAAAUAUUUCUUUGGCAAUUGUUCCAAGACGCGGUUUUGACACGAGAAGUCAUGAUGAGUCGUAAAUGGGCAGGCAAUCCUAGAUGCUCGUUCUGCAAAGAUAUUGAAACUUUGCAACAUCUUUUCUUUACUUGCCCUGUUGCUCGGGUGGUCUGGAGGACGGUUGGGUGUGUGUUGGGCACAUCUCUCUGUCCGAACAACAUCUGGCAGUACUUCUCCUGGUGUUACAUAUUCCUUUCUGAUGGAGCUAAGUUUUACACCUUUGGCUUGGCAGCAGUCUGGUGGGCAAUCUGGAACAGUCAUAACCAGGCUACUUUUGAACAAAAUAUUCUUAAGACCCCAUUUAAUGUGGUGUAUGCUGCUUGUGGUUUUUUGACAUACUGGGCAGGUUUGAUGGCUAGUGAUGAUCGGGAGGCCAUGGAGCGCGAAGCCAAGAUGCUCAGGUCCAAUGCUUCGAUGAUGAUGAGAAUCUGUGCGGCUCCAGCCAAGUCAGCGACGAAAUGA